rnacentral:lncRNA from 1 species
GGCCCGCGUCACGGCCGCCGGCGUCAGGGCGCUCGGCCGGACGGCGAGCAGCUGGCCCAUGCAGAGCGGAGCACGCCGCGCGCGGCAGCUGCCCCUGCGGCCAUGCAAGAACCAGCCAAGCCGAGGCACAAAAAAAACCAGAGCACGCACGCACAACCAAAGAAACCCAGCUAACUCACUACAAGCUCUCGACUUGUCCCGGGAAAUGCAGAGAACGGCCAGUGCUCAUAUAUAUAUACAAGAGGAGAAGAAAAAUUACACGAUGAUGUAAUCGAACCAAACGAACCAUGGAAUCUCAUCAAAUAAUUUGGAUUCGUAAUUAACCAGCUACCACCACAGCACGUACUUACCAUUCAACUUAUCAACGCAAGCGUACGUACUCACUCCCAGAAUCUUUGAAUUUUGAG